rnacentral:rRNA from 1 species
AAGUCAAUCUGCCCAAUGAUUAUAAAGAUUUAAUGGCUGCAGUAUACCUGACUGUACAAAGGUAGCAUAAUCAAUUGUUUUUUAAUUAAAAACUAGUAUGAAAGAAUUAAUGAGAUAUAUACUGUCUCAUAUAUAUUAAAUGAAUUUAAAAAUUUGGUAAAAAUGCUAAAAUUAUUUUAUGGGACGAUAAGACCUUAUAGAAUUUUAUAUUGAAAAUUUAAUUAAAGAAAAUUAAUUAAAUUUAUUAAUAUUUAAUUGGGAGGAUUAGUAAAUUAUAAAAACUUUAUUUUAAAAUUAAACUUAGAUUAAAGGAUUUUUUAGAUCUUGUAUUAUAAAUAAAAAGAAUAAAUUACCUUAGGGAUAACAGCGUAAUAUCUUUUAGAAGAUCAAAUUUAAAAAGAUGAUUGCGACCUCGAUGUUGAAUUAAGAUUAAUUUUAAAUGCAGGAGUUUAAGAAUUAAGUCUGUUCGACUUUUAAAAUCUUACAUGAUUUGAGU